rnacentral:rRNA from 1 species
UACAGAGGUCCCAAGCGUUGUUCGGAUUCAUUGGGCGUAAAGCGCGCGCAGGCGGUCCUUUAAGUCUGAUGUGAAAGCCCACGGCUCAACCGUGGAGGGUCAUUGGAAACUGGGGGACUUGAGUACAGAAGAGAAGAGUGGAAUUCCACGUGUAGCGGUGAAAUGCGUAGAGAUGUGGAGGAACACCAGUGGCGAAGGCGACUCUUUGGUCUGUAACUGACGCUGAGGCGCGAAAGCGUGGGGAGCGAACAGG